ACGGAGUUAGCCGGUGCUUAUUCCUAAGGUACCGUCACUAUCUUCCCUUAGAAAAGAGCUUUACGACCCAAAGGCCUUCUUCACUCACGCGGUAUUGCUGCGUCAGGGUUUCCCCCAUUGCGCAAAAUUCCCC
rnacentral:rRNA from 1 species